GGCUCGGUAGCUCAGUGGUAGAGCAGGGGACUCAUAAGCCCUUGGCCGUAGGUUCAAGUCCUACCCGAGCCA
rnacentral:tRNA from 1 species